UACGGAGGGAGCUAGCGUUGUUCGGAAUUACUGGGCGUAAAGGGCGCGCAGGCGGCUCUUCAAGUCAGGCGUGAAAGCCCCGGGCUUAACCUGGGAAUUGCGCUUGGGACUGGAGGGCUUGAGUACGGGAGAGGAGAGUGGAAUUCCCAGUGUAGAGGUGAAAUUCGUAGAUAUUGGGAAGAACACCGGUGGCGAAGGCGGCUCUCUGGACCGUAACUGACGCUGAGGCGCGAAAGCGUGGGGAGCAAACAGG
rnacentral:rRNA from 1 species